UACAGAGGUCUCAAGCGUUGUUCGGAUUCAUUGGGCGUAAAGGGUGCGUAGGCGGCGCGGUAAGUCGGGUGUGAAAUCUCGGAGCUUAACUCCGAAACUGCAUUCGAUACUGCAUUGCUAGAGUAUGGGAGAGGGAAGUGGAAUUUCAGGUGUAGCGGUGAAAUGCGUAGAUAUCUGAAGGAACAUCAGUGGCGAAAGCGACUUCCUGGACCAAUACUGACGCUCAUGUGCGAAAGCGUGGGGAGCAAACAGG
rnacentral:rRNA from 1 species